rnacentral:tRNA from 1 species
CAAGAUGUAGCUUAAUCAAAGCACCCGGCUUACACCCGGAAGACUUCACAUAUUUAUGAACAUCUUGA